GAACAAUGAUAAAAGCCACAGUCCCUACUCUGGCAGCUGCUGGGCUGGUGGCAGAAGUUGUCUCAUCUGCUUUUCCCCACCAUUCUGGGAGCACUAGUAGCUUUGACUAUACACAGCUAUCAGAAGAGGGAGAGUUCAGCCUAGACCAGGGGUUGGUCCACAAACCUUUAUGGCAAAGGGCCGAACAGUAAAUAUUUUAGGUUUUGUGGGCCCCAUAGUCUCCACUGCAAGUACUCCACUGUGCUAUGGUCACACAAAAGCAGUCAUAGACAAUAUGUGAAGGAAUGAGUAUGACUAUGUUCCAAUAAAAGUUUACAGGUGCAGAAAUUUGAAUUUUAUAUAAUUUUCAUGUGUCCCAAACUAUUAUUCUUCUUUUCAGCCAUUUAAAAACAUAAAAACCAUCCUUGCAUUGUGAGCUGUAUCAAAUCAGAGGAUGAGAACAUGGACGCAGGUUUGGGGUCCCUGCUUCCUACCCUAGCUGAGUGCUGGGGGAACAGGCUGUAGAAUAGAUGCCUCAGGUCAACAUGGGGGGCUCCCAGGGUGGAAAGACUAGGGUCUCCCUUCCCAAGGUGAGUUCUGGAGUGACUGUGAGCCCUAGUGAAGCUUCAUGUCCCCCAUGGUACCAGAGCAGCAGAGCAACGGUGGCCAAGGGGCCUGGACAGAAUACCCUGGAGCCAGCUUUGUGACAGGCCCCUACAAAUGAUAAGGACAAAGAGUCAAAGUUCCUGAGCCUCCAUUUCAAAGGAGAGAAGAAGAUGAUGAUGGCUGGCCAGCAAAUUCAGAGAAGACUGGGUUGGAAGGCGAGAUCUGCCUGGACUCUACAACCAGAGGCCAUUACAAGAUGGUGUCCCCUUGGCCAAUACAGCAGGGGAAACAGCUGAUGCCCAAAGACCGCAUGGUUUGGAGGAGGCUCUCCUCAGAGAAGAAGUGGCCUGCCUCCACUCCUCUGGGUUCCCUAGAGCUGGUCCUCUUCUCCCUGAAGGCUGUCACAGUUCCUGUGCAGAGAGAGAGGGCACUGCAGCACCCAGGCGCUGACUGCCUUUUGUCAGUCUCAUUUGCAGGCCCCCAGCUGGAGAACCCAGGAGGAAGAGGAAAAAAGUUUUUUCCUCCUCUACACUCCCCAUGCAUGACUAAAGAGUAGGAGGAGUCAGCAAGACAUAUAUAGUACCCAGGAGGUGGACAAACAACUGCCUUGGUGGAAACUCUGUCCUUUCUGGACUUAUCCUGGUGCCACUGAGACUGUGCAGGUCCCACACUUACAGGGAAAGCAUCACCCGAAAGUGAGAAUGCCUAGAGGCAGGAAUCAUGGAGGCUUCCUUAACCGUCUGUCUGCAACAGCAGGUGCUAGAGAUGACACUGCAGAGUAGAGAACAAAGGAAUCUUAGUAAUUGUUCAAUCCAAUCUCCACACUUUAAAGAUGAAGAAACUGGUAUUGAGAAAAAUACACAGCUUAUCCAAGGUUGCACUGCUGGUUGGUAGCUGAGAUGAAUUUAGAACCCACAUCUGAUGACUACACCAUAUUGCUCCCAGUUUUCCUGUCUGUUCCACAUGUAAAAGUCUGACUCUUCACUUCUCCUUUGAGUAUAUAGACUUUUAACAUUUUUGUAUGUCAAGAUGGACUUUUCCUCAUACCCAGCCCCUGCCUUUUCUCCUCCCUUCAUACCUUGCAGGAUCUUUAACAGAAUUUAAAAGGAGUUUUUUGUUUUGUUUUGAUGUAUCUAAUAAAAGUCAAGGGAGGGAGAGGGCCAGUAUAAGCAAGAGUACAGUUUCCUAGUUUGUAGAUGCGGUAGUCUGAGGAAUCAGAAACACACAAAGGUUUGGAGAACUGGUACAUGCUCCCAGGUGGGAAGCCAGGACUCUUGGUAGGAUCUUGAGGACAAGGCAAAGGACAAUAAGAGAGCGAGGGGAUCCUAGAGGUGGAAUCAAGGAAGAGAAACUAGAGAGAGAAAAAGGAACUGGCUAUCCAUCCAUGAUGGAUCCUGUGUGGACUGAUGGGUGGCUUGGCAUCAUCCUUUAGUAGACUUCAUGUGGUUGAAUAAUUGGCCAAUGGAAGGAAUUUCUUUUUUGGUAACAGACUCUGUGUGUACAGUUAUGGGUCUUAAUUUAUAAUAAAAGGUUACAUUGAAAAUUGAGCA
ensembl:lncRNA LINC02532 long intergenic non-protein coding RNA 2532